UGGGGGAUAUUGCACAAUGGGCGAAAGCCUGAUGCAGCGACGCCGCGUGGGGGAUGAAGGCCUUCGGGUUGUAAACUUCUUUUGCUCUGAACAAGGCGCACCAUGGGGUGUGUUGAGUGUAGGGGUUGAUUAGCGCCGGCUAACUACGUGCCAGCAGCCGCGGUAAUACGUAGGGCGCGAGCGUUGUCCGGAAUUAUUGGGCGUAAAGGGCUUGUAGGUGGCUGGUUGCGUCUGUCGUGAAAGCUCAUGGCUUAACUGUGGGUUUGCGGUGGGUACGGGCUGGCUUGAGUGCAGUAGGGAGGCUGGAAUGCCUGGUGUAGCGGUGGAAUGCGCAGAUAUCAGGAGGAAUACCGGUGGCGAAGGCGGGUCUCUGGGCUGUUACUGACACUGAGGAGCGAAAGCAUGGGGAGCGAACAGG
rnacentral:rRNA from 1 species